AUUAAAUUUAUAUAUAGAUGACAUAAAAGGCCAAAAAAAGUUAAAAAAUUAAAAUGACGACAGUGAAUUUCGCUGGAGUUUUGACGUCACAGUUUUACGUAAACGGAAUCACGUGACUUAAAUUGAAUAUUUGAAAAAAAAUGCAGCAACCUGUUUUGCACGAAGGAUAUGACAUGUGACCCACCCAUGACGAAAAUAAUUUUCUUAAAAUAAAUUUUCCCCGAAGCGAUUGCCGACUUAGCUGCGCCCUGAAGCUUCAUCCCGCGGCAUCUGGGUUGCGUUUCAUCGGUUUUAAUUUUAAAGAAAAACUAAGCGGAGGCCUACGUGACAGGAUAUACGACGUCAUCAGUUAUAGCUAUAUAAGCGACGGGUUUCAGCCAAAGAAUCACAAUUGACUCGUGGUAUAUAUCGGUGACACUGAUAUACCAAGAGACAUACAAGGAUCUCAUAGCUUCUAUAUACAAGAGAUUUGUUUUAGAAUAAAAGACUUCUGAUCAUCGCAAUGAAGGUUGUGAUAUUUCUAGCUGCGUUGUGUGCUCUUGCACAUUGCAACGGUCAACUUUCACCUAAUGCUCUGUGUCAAAUUACCUGCGAACGAAAUGAAUCUUGCCCAUCAAAGGACCAGAUGCACUCAAUUGUAUUGAGC